GGCCUCCGUAUGAGUGCUGUCUAGGACUCGCAAGCAGCGCCUUUUCAGAAGGCAGUUUCAAAUACUUCCUCCGCUCAUUCAUUCUCUUUCUCUAACUCUUCACUGUCUCUGAAGCUGUAAGGAGAUCUUUUUCUCUCCUACUAAUCCACAUUGUAAGGGAUUCCAAUGCUGAUAAGAGCUGCAUUAGCUUAGUUUGUACCUCGAAGGACCUUUCUUGACAGUCUGAAAUUUUAAAUAAACCAGUUCCAAUUCCAUUAUAAUUCCUUUGCUGUUGAAAAUCCAAGGAAAGCUUUACCCAACCUCAACUACCUUGUCUUUUGUUUGAUUUCGACUUCAUCAUCAGAAAUUCCUUCAAAAUGCACUCUCCUCUUCACUACUGUUUCAUCUAAAUUUCUUAUCUAUAAACAUUUGUUCAUUUGUUUUACCAAAACAACCCACCAACAAAGAAAAAAAAAUGUCUGAAUCUAAUCCAAGAUUACCUUCUAACAAGCUUCCUGAUUUCAAGCAAUCUGUGAAACUGAAAUACGUUAAACUUGGCUACCAUUACCUGAUAACUCAUGGAAUGUACAUAUUUUUAACCCCUCUUGUUAUGGUCAUUGCUGCACAACUCUCCACUUUCUCGCUUCAAGAUCCCCACGAUCUUUGGGACCAUCUUCGUUUUAAUCUAAUUUCUGUGAUCCUAUGUUCCACCCUUCUCGUUUUCUUAUCAACCCUUUAUUUUCUUACUCGUCCUCGUCCUGUUUACCUUGUUGAGUUUUCAUGUUACAAGCCAGAUGAUGCUAGGAAAUGCACCAGGGAGAUGUUCAUCGAAAGGUCUGUUUCGACUGGUACAUUCACAGAGGAAAAUCUUGAGUUUCAAAGGAAAAUUGUUGAGAGGUCUGGUCUUGGGGAGUCCACUUACCUCCCCGAAGCUGUUUUAACAAUUCCUCCUUAUCCAUGCAUGGCAGAGGCAAGGAAAGAAGCAGAAGCUGUGAUGUUUGGCGCACUUGACCAGCUUUUUGAGAAAACAUCUUUGAAACCUAAAGAUGUUGGAAUUUUAAUUGUCAAUUGCAGCUUGUUUAAUCCAACACCUUCUUUAUCUGCAAUGGUAAUUAAUCAUUACAAGCUUAGAGGGAAUAUUAUUAGUUAUAAUCUAGGUGGGAUGGGCUGUAGUGCUGGUUUGAUAUCCAUUGAUCUUGCCAAAGAUCUUCUUCAAGCACAUCCAAAUUCCUAUGCUUUGGUCGUUAGCAUGGAAAACAUUACUUUGAAUUGGUAUUUUGGGAAUGAAAGGUCCAUGCUUCUUUCCAAUUGCUUGUUCCGGAUGGGAGGGGCUGCAAUUUUGCUUUCCAAUAAAAGGUUUGAUGGAUGGCGGUCCAAGUAUAGAUUGGUCCAUACUAUUCGAACUCACAAAGGUGCAGAUGAUAAAUGCUUCACUUGUGUUACUCAGAAAGAGGAUUCUACCGGGAGGAUUGGAGUUUCUUUGUCAAAGCAUCUGAUGACGGUUGCUGGGGAUGCUCUGAAGAUUAAUAUCACAACCCUUGGUCCUCUUGUUUUACCAAUGUCUGAGCAGUUACUCUUCUUUGCCACUUUGGUUGCCAGGAAAUUUUUCAAGAUGAAGGUGAAGCCUUACAUCCCAGAUUUCAAAUUGGCUUUUGAGCAUUUCUGCAUUCAUGCUGGUGGAAGAGCUGUACUGGAUGAGUUGGAGAAGAACUUGCAACUCUCAGAUUGGCAUAUGGAACCUUCAAGAAUGACACUGUAUCGAUUUGGUAACACUUCAAGCAGCUCUCUUUGGUAUGAAUUGGCUUAUACAGAGGCCAAAGGGAGGAUUAAGAAGGGAGACAGAACAUGGCAAAUAGCAUUCGGUUCAGGGUUUAAGUGCAACAGUGCUGUUUGGAAGGCUCUGCGGACCAUAAAUCCAGCUAAGGAUACAAGCCCAUGGAUGGAUGAGAUUCACCAAUUCCCAGUGGAUGUUCCAAAGGUUUCAGCAAUCUAGAAUCCAUUUAACCAUUUUGCUUUUCCAGCAUUAGAUUAGUGAUUGCUCUUCAGAUUUGAUCAUGUUCGACUGCUGAUUAAUUGGGCUAACUUUUCAUUGGGUGGCAAAGUAACCAGUUCCGAUGUGAAUUGAUAAAACAGAGUUGGCAUUUCUACCAGACGGUUAUUUGAUUCUCAUAACAGUGCAAAUAAUAGGCCAACCAUAAUGAGAAAUCAACCCAUCCAUCCUGUCAAUACUGAUAAAAGUCAUCACAAAUCAGCAAAUAUACAUAGAAAUCAAUCUUUCCAAGACUUUUGAGCUAACGAUCAAGAGAGACCUAGUUAUUAAUCCUUAGGGCACUUGUUUGAUAAGAGCCUUGUGAAUGUGAGGGAUGACACCAGGACCAGCUAUGGUUCCUUUGAUAAGGGUAUCAUGUUCUUCAUCACCAUAAACUGUUAACUGCAGAUACCUUCACAUGAUUAAUUACUUGCAGCAGUACCUGCCAACUCUACGACUUGUACACUCAGGUACUCCAAGAUGGCAGAAGUGUGGACAGCUGCAGUUGCGCCAACUCUUCCAUUUGCUUUGACCCUUCACCUGAGAAGACGAUGAAUCUGGCCAGCACUGAACUGCAGGACAAGUUACAAGGUCGAGCAAUUAGGGAGAAAAGGCAUCAGUGAAUGGCGACAAAUUUACCAAUCGAAUACAUACAGGGAAAGAAUUCGAAAACAAUUAAGAUUGUGGUCUUGGUUUUCAUUAACAGUUUUUUUUUUAAAAAUAAUAAUAAUUUUAUAGUAUAACAUUGUAUAAAAAAUAAUAAGAACAAUUAUUAUAAAUAAAAUAUUAUUUUAUGUUGAACAAUAAUUAUAACAAGUGAAGUAUUAUUUUAUGUAAAAUUAUUAAAACAAGUGAAAUAUUAUUUCAUACAAAACAAUUAGAGUAAGUGAACUGUUAUUUUAUUUUAUACAGAAUAAUCACUUUAUACGGAUGAUAGUGAAAAUAACUUAGAAUAAGUGACAGAAUUCAAGAGUUAUUUUUAUCUUGAAAAGUUUUAUAAAGUUUGAUUUGGUGGUUCAGAUAUAGAGGUAAUUAAGAAGUUUUUAUUUUAACUUUUUUCUAAAGUACAAAUAGUACAAGUGUUUUUCUCUUCUUCUCUUAUUCUCUUGUACUUGUUUAUGUAUACCAUUUUCUCUUAAUUUAUUCUUGUAUAACUUUUUAUGUAUGUUUCUUCUUUAUUAUUUUUUUAUUUGAGAAUAAGUUUUAUUAU